rnacentral:lncRNA from 1 species
AAAUAGUGCCUCUUAGCUUUCUUCUUCUUCUUCUCCAGUGAACACCACCAAAACCUUAGGGACCUAAGCUUCUUCUUCAACCAACACAAACGACCCCUUCAUUGCUGAUCGGCCUUCUUCAAUAGAACAGCGACGAGCUCGCCAAAAACGAGUUGAAAAGACCACCAACAGCUCCUUACUCACGUCGUCAUACCACCCGUCAGCCCUCUCUGUAUUCCUUCUUCAACCAUAACACACCUCCUUGACCAAGAAAGCCCUCCAUUGUCGUAGCUUCCCAUCUACAACACACACGCACAUAGCUGCAACGGGAGGGUAGCAGCAGUGAAAAGGAGGUGACGAGUGGUGUUCGAAAAGUCGAUGAAACAGUAGUCUCGAUAUAGGUUCGUCCGAGCUGUCCGUCUGUGAAGCCGAGGUGUCGUACAAGUUUGUCGAUGACGGUUCCGAUCUUAGUUCAUUCGAAAGACUUCUCUGAAUUUUGGUUUAGAGGUAAAUUCCCAUGCUUCAUGUUUUGGAGAUUUUUUGCCUAAUUAAGUUUCAGAAAUGAAAAGAUUAGAUUCGUUGCUUAUCUUAUCCCCUGCAAUUUCUACUUUCUCUUUAUGAAUGUGAGUCUAUGCUGAAAUUUUGCUUAGAUGUUUUGGUCCUAGAGCCAUAUAUUUAGAGUUCUUAAUUCUAUUUGUUCACUAGUUGUGAUGCAUGCUUAUAUUUAUUUCUGUUAAAGCAUCAAUAACUUUUAGGGUCCUGAUUUUGUUGCUAUUUGAGUUACAUUAGUGGUAUUUUAAGUUUUAAAAUGAAUCGAACAAUUAGAGCUCUUGAUAUUUAGGCUACUGUAAUGGUAGAUAAUGAAUGGGCCACGCGAGUUCAAAACUCUCCGGCUCAAUGACUGUUUUGUUCGCCUAAUUGGUUUGGCCCAACUGUCAGUAAGGCUACAAACUAGCCCACGUUUCCGACACUAAUUUAUUUUGUCCCUUCCACAAUAAUUUCCGUGACACGUGGCUCUCACAGAUGUUGCUAUUGAAAGUUGAAUCUCCAUAGUUUGCUUUAGGAGCAUUCCUUAAAUUGAUUUUCUUUAAUUACCAAUUUCGGGUGUGCAUUUCAUGUGACCCAAAUCCAAAUCCCAACAAUGUUGAAUAAAAUAUGUCACGGAUUGCGGGUGCAUUUCAUGUGGCGCGAUCCAAAGACAUGUUUUGAACGACAUUCAAUCUUCCUUAAAAAUAAAGCGGUUAUAAAGCUAAAAUCGGCACAUAGUUUCAUAAUUGAUUUAAAUCAGAUAAAUAAGUUGAAUAUAACAGUUAGGCGACCGUGCUAGAACCACGGAACUCGGGAAUGCCUAACAGCUUCUCCCGGAUUAACAGAAUUCCUUACCUGGAUUUUUGGUUCGCGGACUGUAUUACAGAGUCAACCUUUUCCUCGACUCGGGAUUCGAACCGGUGACUUGGGACACCAUAAAUCUCCCAAGUGGCAACUCUGAAUUUCUUAAUAUAAAUCCCGUUUCGAUUGUCUUUUAAUUGGAAAAAUUCCUUUAUACUCCCUUACGUGGUGUAAGUGAAAAAAGGAGGUGUGACAGCUCUGGCGACUCUGCUGGGGAAUCGAACCCAGAAUCUCUGGUUCAGGGUUCAAGAAUUCGAGCUUAGAAUAAUUGUUAUAGUUGGCUUUAUCCAUUAUCUGAUUUUGUUACAUGAUUUGGGCCUAAUGUGCUAAUUGAUUGUUUUUACCGCUUUGAUAUUCCGUGAACUGUAUAUAAAUUGUUGCGAAAUUCCUCUUCUCUCUGAGUCUUCUAAAUCAUGAAGAAGUGUGCACUUCGUGUGACUACUUUUCUGUUAGAGUCAUAUUCCAAAUUUAGAACGAGGUUCAGACAAGUUGCAAAGCCAGUGAAGCUUCUGUAUUCCCGGUACGCUCGCCCCCCCCCUCCCCGGCCUCCGAGUUGUCCCCUCGGGUAAGCCAGGUCUAGAACAAUAAACCCAGGUUUUAAAUCUAGUAUAACAAGUCCUCAUGCCGGAUCCCUAGUAGGAAUGUUUGUUGCAUCACGUGCAUUUGACUUAGGGGACUCAACACAAGGGUUGAGUCCGUCUAGGACAGGUGUACCCAAAAAUAAAAGACCAUCCUGAUGCAUCUUAUGUGCUAUAUGUUGCAUUUAUUCAAGGGUAAAAGGGUCAUUUGGCGAACUAAUGAUAGCUGAAGGUAAAUGAAGAAAUGAAGAGAAAAAAAAACAUGGAAAAAGAAAGAAGAAAGAAAAAAAAAGGAAAAAAGAGGGUGAAGCGAGUAGGGCCCAAUUAUAUUUUUUGUACAUUUUAUUAAGAAAAAGAGCAUGGAAACUUCAAAAAGAUUUUGCACUUUUUUAUCAUUUUUCAAAAAAAAAAAAAUCAAAAAAAAGAAAAGAAAAUUCAAAAAGAUUUUAUAUGUUUCAUCAUUUUUCGAAAAAGAAAAAGAAAAGAAAAAAUGUGUUCUCUAUAUGUUAGUUUUUUUAUUAUUCUCGCCCGUAUCCAAUUUGCCCAAACUACGCAUACCUGAUCCUCGUCUUUCGGGGCGUGAUACGUAGGCAACCCACAUAGGGUCCGGUUUUUCUAGUAAAUCUUAGGUUCUUGGCUUUGCGGGGUCAUAAUCAAAUUUUGCACUUCUAGCCACCUUUUGGCCAAAUAAGUCAGUUUGCAAAAAUAGCCUCAACCAUGUCUUCCAUGUGUCCCGUAGGGAGUGUUAUUGUCUCACAUAGUGUUGAUUUAAAGCUUUUUCAUACAGGUGUGGAUUUAUUUACCGAAGUUUGAACAUGACAGAUACCCCAAGAUCACUGCAUUCAUGAGCUGCUCGAGGAGCCAUUUUAUGUUUUUGAGUCAAUUAUUUUUGUUUUAUUUUUCUAGUCCUGUGUAGUAGUAUUUAGUCUUUUAGGUGAUGUUAGAGUUUGUAUUGUCUAAUUGAGUUUGUAUAGUCUUUUGUUACUGUAUUUCUUAUUUUGCAUUUGAAAAUGUG